AUGCGCACCAGAUGUUUCGAAGACAAUGAGGUUGGUAUUCUUCCCCGUGGUCUCCACGACUACACCAUCGCCGCGCUGCUUCCUGGUCCUCUCAGCUUCCACGAGUUCGUGCUCCAUUUGUUCCACUCCGAGACGUCGAGCUGGGCCUCCAUGGUGCUGCCUGUGGCGGAGCCACAGGUGGAGUUCGAUUGCGUCAUCCCCACCAACAUGGAUCUUUAUUACCACUAUACUUCCAACGUCAUCACAAUCGGCGGUGAGCACGGCACCAUGGGCUGGGUCGAUCUCUGGCGAGGCAUCCUGUUGUGUGAUGUGCUGCGUGAGAAGCCAACUCUCCGUGGAAUACCGUUGCCUCUGCCGAUGGAACGUAUCACCGCCGGCGAACAUUUAGGCCGUGCAAUGGAUUGCCGAGGCAUUGCCGUCGUCAAUGGCUCUCUCAAGCUUGUCCAACUGGACAUCACCGGGUGGAUGACUGGGCGAUCUCCUCAUGGACCAAUAGCACGAUGGAGAAUUCUUACGAAGCUUGGGGCGAGCAUGCACGGUCGAAGCUGCUGA
rnacentral:rRNA from 1 species